UAAGGCUUUAGAGCAUUCCCAUCCAGUAUCCUAAACUAUUGUUAUCUCUGAAUUUUGGGGGAAGCUGAAAAACCCCCUCGCAUCUUAUUCCUUAAAUUAGGGAUUUCAUUUAGGGGAAUAUGGAGAACCACUGUACAUCCCUAAUCGUCCAUCUCUUUCCUUUCCUAUUGUUGGUCCUGUGUGUUCCUCUCUCUCCACUCUCGAUUGCCUUCUCUUGUGUCGUUUGCCACUUUUGAUGGUGGCUUCUCUUCAUCAGCCCAAAUAUAUCUUUUGGUAUUGAUUUUAGGCCUAUUUUUUGGGGCUUCGUGUUUAGUGCAAGGCUGUGAUGAUGGUUCUAAUUACUCCAUGGAAGGGUUUAAUUCACAGGUGUUUUUAAUAGAACUCCAUCGAUAUGGCAAGGUAAUCUGAACCCAAAUGACCACAAACUAUUUUGUGAUCGUUUUCACAAAAGACAACUAGGGUUUUUGAUUUUGUAGCCAUUUUCUUAGUUGGACUCGUAUCUUAUACAUAAUGUAAAUAAUAAGACCAUUCUAAGCUCUAUGUAACACACAUUCUUUGGGGAUUUCAAUGCAUUCAUAGAUUUUUUUU